AUUGAACGCUGGCGGCAGGCUUAACACAUGCAAGUCGAGCGGGGUGAUGGUGCUUGCUCUCGGGUGACGAGUGGCGGACGGGUGAGUAACGUCUGGGAAACUGCCCGAUGGAGGGGGAUAACUACUGGAAACGGUAGCUAAUACCGCAUAACGUCGCAAGACCAAAGUGGGGGACCUUCGGGCCUCACACCAUCGGAUGUGCCCAGAUGGGAUUAGCUAGUAGGUGGGGUAAUGGCUCACCUAGGCGACGAUCCCUAGCUGGUCUGAGAGGAUGACCAGCCACACUGGAACUGAGACACGGUCCAGACUCCUACGGGAGGCAGCAGUGGGGAAUAUUGCACAAUGGGCGCAAGCCUGAUGCAGCCAUGCCGCGUGUAUGAAGAAGGCCUUCGGGUUGUAAAGUACUUUCAGCGGGGAGGAAGGCGGUGAAGUUAAUAGCUUCACCGAUUGACGUUACCCGCAGAAGAAGCACCGGCUAACUCCGUGCCAGCCGCCGCGGUAA
rnacentral:rRNA from 1 species